rnacentral:tRNA from 1 species
CCCAAGUUCGAUCCCUGGUACCAAAAAAACAAAAAGAUAAACCUCUUGCCUCUAUCACUAAAACUAAAUACUGUAGAACAGUUUUUAGGCUUGAAAGGAGGGAGUGUGACUUAGUAGUAGAGUGCAUGCCUGGCAUGUGUGAGUUCCUGGGUUCCAUCUCCAGUACCAUUAAUAAAGUUUUUAGGCUCACUAGAUGGGUAUUUGUCAUCAAGAAGGUGGGUAAGAAAAUACAGCAUUGAAACUUGUCUGUUUUGAGUAAGAAAAUGCCAAAGGUGGACAAAUUAAGUGGGUGUUUUAGGAGAGAAGGAAUUGACCACACGACAAAUUUCCUAGCCUGGUAAGCCAAUGUGUGGGAGGCUACAGAUGGUAGUUGGUAAUUUAUGUGAAUUGGACUGAGUCUAACUUUAGUCCUAAAAAUUUUAGCUCUGGUGUCUGUUUAAUAGUUGAACUUUGCCAAAAGGCACUCAAGCUACAAAUGUGAAUCCAGAAUUAAAAGAAGGGUUCAGUUUAUACUGUAGAGAUACUGAAAGCAUACGAAAAGUGUUCUGUUAGGGACCCUUUAUGUGGAAGUUUGGGAUAAGCUGUAAGAAUGGAUUGCAAGAUCUGCGAAACAAAGUAAACCUGCAUCCUUUAAAUGGGACUUGAAAGUUUUAGGCUAACUUUGACAGUUAAUGUGGCACAUCUUGAUACUAGGAAUGUAGAGGGUUUUUUUAAGGAAUGUAGCAUAUUGGUUAAUAAUACAGUGAGCAUAUUGUACAACAAGGCCCACAACAGCUCCUUUGUUCUUUGCUGUAGUAAACUACAGGGUGAUAGUCAAGUUCUGUAUUUAAGCAUAAUGUCAUUGUAUCCAUGACUUAGGCCAAAUCAGAAAUUUGUUUACUUGGCAAAGAGAGUUCUUAAAAGAUUUACUAUUUGGAUUUUUUCCAUCUCCAUUUGCUAUUCCCAAAUUAUUGUUUUUGUGUGUACUUAAAUCCAAUACUGAAUUACUACCUCAUUUGCUGAAGUUUUGUUGGUUUUUUGGGGGGUACCUGGGAUCGAACUCAGUUCCUUGCACUUGCGAGGCAGGCAGCGGAACCACUGAGCUAAAUCCUCGGCCCGUACUGAAGUGUUUUAAGUUGAUCUCAGCAACUGUUCAUCCUGGUUGUCAAGUCUGACCUUCCUCAAACAUUGUCACUCCCCUCAUAUGAAUCAAUGAUGGAUUGGUUAUAUUUUGCUUUAACAAUUUAUCAUUAUUUUUUAAAAUUUAUCACUAUUCUUAAACCACAUCUUCUGGUCUGGUAACUAUUUUGUUGGCCAUGUCAGGUUUUGCUUCUGUGUGUCUACUUACAUCCUUCCUUACCCGCUGCCACCAAGCAGUCUUCAGCUGCUUCAAAUCCAAACAUUCUCAAAGAUUUGGCUUAAGUCGCACUUAAAAAGAAUGCUGCUAAAAUCCUUUAAUACCUCUUUUCAACAAUAUGCAUUUAGUUCCCUUGCUAUUUCUUAUUAAUGUUGAAUUUUCUGUGGGUUAAAUAUUUGGACCCAAUGGAAUUUUUGUAAUAACUUGUAAUUCCCAGUGAGCUAAGCGCAAUGCUGACAGUUUAACAAAUUUUGUCAAGUAGAAAUAACCUAAUACUCCUUGAGAAGCAAAGUGCUGUAGAAGUCUUGUGUUUUAUAAAAUAUUGGUUAAUUCAAUUAUUGAAAAAAUAUUUUAAUCCUAAUAUUGGAUCAAAUAAUUCCUCAUUAGAUGUGAAGCCAGGAAAUUCAGAUUUAAAUGCUAGCCUGGUUUCACUGUGUAGUUCAGGAUGACUCUGUGUGUGUGUGUGUGUGUGUGUGUGUGUGUUUUGAGACAGGAUCUCACUAUAUGGUUCAGGCUGGUCUUGAACUCACUAUGUGGCUCAGGCUGGCCUCAAACUCACUGCAAUCCUCCUUGCCUCCGCCUCCUGAGUGCUGGGGUUAUAGGCAUGCACCACCACGCCUGGCUCAGGUUUUGUUUUUUUUUUUGUUUGGUUUUUAUUUUAACUCACUAGGCCAGGCUGAUACCAAACUCACAGUGAUCCUCCUGCCUCAGCCUUCUCACAGCUGGGAUUACAGGUGUGCCCCACCAUGCUCACUCAACCUGAGAAGGUAUAUGUUGCUCCCAAAACUGGACUUAGAAUGUAGAAAAGUUUUGUUGUAAGCUGUGCACACUUAUUUCAGUAUAGAUUACCAAGAAUUGAUGGUAUUGUCUCCUCAAAAACCAAACAGCUUCUUUUGCGGCUGCCUCUUGGAUCUUUAAGUCAUCUUUUUCUUGGGCAUGAUUCUUUCAGAGGAAGCUUUAAAUUGACUCCGAAUUUACUGGCGCUGCCUCAAUCAGAAUCUCUGAAAAUUUCUCAGCCUGUUGAGUUUGAGCUAUUUUGUUCUUUUUUGAAAUCAUGUUCCCACCGGCUUGAAACACCAGUGGUACAUACAUGACUGUCCCAUUGGGCAGCUUUUUAUUAAUUCUAUUAAAAAGAUGAUUAAAAAAAUGAUAAAAGUGACUAGAUACAUUUGUACCACCAGUGAUACAAGCUGCCCAUGGGACAGCCAUGCAUGGUUCAAGCUGCCCGGCAGUGAGAGAUACAAAUUAUAGCCCCAUCAUGAACGUGUUAACUCCAUGUCCUAGCCAAUGCUGUGUGCCGCAGCAGGCUGUUUGUAUCAUUGAAAAGCUCUAAAAGGUCCACCAUCACUUCUAGGCCCUACAAGUAGCUCCACUCCUUUAGCUAUUAAAGUUCUGGCUCUUCUUGAUUAGCUAGUGACAAUCAUUUUUAAUAUUUUUAUUAGUUUGCAAUACAUAUGAUUACAUCAUGGCAAGUUGGCACAUGUACAGACCUCAUCCUUUUAUGUCUCCUCUCCUGACUCAGUUAUUCUUGAAAUAAUUGCACUUCAUUUCUGCUUUGGCUUUCUUCGCCAUGUUUAUAUAGUGCAUUUAUUUUAUUUUUUAUAUUUUGGUACUGGGGAUCAAACUCGGGAUCUUGCACUUGCAAGGCAGGCAGCGGAACCACUGAGCUAAAUCCUGGGCCCCUAUAUAGUGCGUUUACAUGUCCACUUUAAGCUGUACUUGAUAGUUGUUUCGUGUAUAUUUUGUUUCUUCCAGCUACAUAGUGAACUCUUGGGGCUAGUAUGUUAGGGAAAUCUGAGGCAAGUAUGCUGUGUAGUUUAGAUCUGAGAUGCAGGUGCCCCUCUGAUCAGAUUGGGCUUAUUCUCAGUAGUAAUCUCAAGGGUUCCUGUCCUUGCUACUUUUUUAGUGGAAAAUUUUUGAGGAAGAAAGUGCAAAACCAUAGGACAAAUACCUGAUGUUUUCUUAAAGUAAUGCCUGUUUUACAGAGUAUUUUGACGUGUGUGUGUGCGUGUGUGUGUGUGUGUACUGGGGAAUGAACUUGGGACCUUGCACUUGUGAGGCAGGCGGUGGAACCACUGAGCUAAAUUCCCGGCUAUUUUGACUCAUUUUAAGCCUCAAGUGCUAUUGGCCUCAUUUUUCAUUGAAGGAAAAGCCUGAGAUUUUAAAUUGGCAGGCUCAAAAUUUGAAUGCAAGUCAUAUUUACUACACUAUUGCUUUUUGAGGUUUCUCCAGGGGAGAAUGAUAAAUCUGUGAACACUACCUGUAGUAGCUACCUGAUGCCACCAGGGUGUCCCAUGGUGCUGUGGUUGAUAUUCUUACCCUGAGAGCUGGGGACUGUUCCAACUACAUCUUGUUAGAGUGGCUUAUGGCUCAGAGCCUGGCCCCAAACAAUGGAAUACUUGGCUUCCUGGCUUUCCAGUGUACAGUGCACAGCCAGCCCUUAGAAGCCCUUGCCCUGUUUUUACUCCUAGUCAAACUGCCCCCACAGCCAGUGGGUCACAGAGUAGUCAAGGGCUGGCUAGCCCCUCAGUAACAACACAGCAACCCCUCAGAAGACAUUAGCAUACAAAAGAACCUGUGAAUGGUAAAUGUCUAUGAACAUCAGUGUUUAGUAGCUGAGUAUACAGUUCAACAACUUUGUAUUAGUAAACUAGAACCAUAGCAAAACCAGAUUGAAUUAACACUAUAUGUAGAUGAAUAUUACUACUCUUUUGGGGUGGGGCUUUUUGAAACAGUCUAUAGUCCAGGCUGGCCUUGAACUUGUAGUGAUCCUCCUGCCUCAGCCUGUUGAAUGCUGAGAUUACAGGUGUGUGCUGCCAUGCCUAGCUUAGGUAGAUGAAUAUUAAAAGUCAUCGGCAAAUGCACUUUCCAGUUUGCAAUAAAAAUGUUUGUAUUAUACUUAGCCUGAGUGUGCAGCCUUCUAGCAUGAGGGUGUUUUUUUGUUGUUUUUUUUUUUAUUGGUUGGUUUUUUAGUAGUAGAAAUUGAACCCAGGGCCAUGCAUGUGCUAGCCACUACCACUGAGCUACAUUCUCAGCCCUUAGAAUCAUUUUUUAUAUUCAAUAAUCUUAGAUGUCAAAGCUAUCUCUUAUGAGAGAGCUAAUAGGAUGAAGUCUCAGGUUUGGUAUUAAGGAGAAAAUACAAUCUUUAAAAUUUGCUGUUCAAGCACUUUGUACUAGUGUGUAUAGCUAACUGGCUUAUAAUUAUUUCUUUACGAGUCUUGAUUUCUGCAUUGGAGAAGAUCCUUAAAAGUAUUUCCAGUGGCCAGCAUAGCUCCUGAGAAUUAGUAAGUGCUCAAUAUUUACUGGAAUAACGUUUCCAUAGUAGUUCUGAGAUAGUUCUACAUAUGGGAAGAGGUCUUUGUUUUUGUCUUCAAGCCAAUUAAAAUUCAUUUUGAACUGGAAAGUGCGUUGGAUGUCCUGGCCUUUUGAAAGGCUGAGUUCAUUGUUUAAUGUUGGAGUUCUCAUCAUGGCCUGAGUUUGAGUCUGUGUUUAAGCUGUUUCUCUUUAGGUAUCACCUAUGUGCUAUCCUAGGACUGGUUGGUUACCCGGCUUUUCAGACUCCCAGGAAUAAACUACUGAUUCUAGCUAUUGAACUUGAGGUCCCCCUUUCCCCUCUCUCCUCCCUGCUUUCUCACAUGAGUUUCCAGCCUGAAACUUGUUCAAGACAUGGUUUGUUUGGGUUUGUUUUUGUUUAUGUAAUUGUUUCUGCUGGGACUAGUCCAGUGGCCACAUGCACGGUAACUACACACUUUACCACUGAGCUAUGCCUCAGCCCUAUACCUACUCUUUUUUUUUUUUUUUUUUUUUUUGGUACUGGGGAUCAAACUCGGGUCCUUGCGCUUGCCAGGCAGGCGGCAAAACCAAUGAGCUAAAUCCCGGGCCCUACCUACUCUUUUUUUUUUUUUUUGUACCGGGGAUCGAACUCAGGACCUUACACUUGCGAGGCAGGCGCCAGAAUCACAGCUAAAUCCCUGGCCCUCUACUCUUUUUAAUAAUCAAGUAAACUUUGAAUUUUCAUAGAUCUCUGGUAAGUGGACUAAUCAGAUUAUAGAUUAUAGUACUAACUUGGACUGUUCUUGGACACUAUGGUUUUCUUAGGUCAUCAGAGUGACCGCUUCAGCUAAAUAAAUAUACAGAACAUAUAUGGGAUUUCUUUGAGCUUCAUUAUUAGUUUCACUAUGUGGGAGAUCUCUGGUACAAAUAACCCUCUUUCCUUUAAGAAAUAUUUUAGAGAUUUUUCCAUCCCAUGUUUUAUAUCUAGUUUAAUAAAUUGAUUUUAAAAUAUUAUUUCCUAUGUGAGGAAUAAUAUAUUCUGCCUUUCCCAUCUAAAGUGCAAAUUACUAAAAGGCAGAAAUGUGUAUUAUAACUCUUGAGGUGCCUGUUUCUGAACUUGUUUUAUACCUGAUGCGCGGGAGGUGUUUUCUCUAGCUUCAUUGAUUAUGUGCCAUCUGUUCUGUGAGCAUUCUUUGCAGAAAGAAAGGGGAGAGAACGUGAAAGGAGAAGUGGAGAGAAGCUGGAGAAGAAGAAAUAGCUGGAAGCUUGGGAAUUGGGGGAUUUACCUAAGACGGUCUUGCUAUGUUCAGGCUAGCCUUGAACUCACUAUGUACCCCCGGCUGGCCUCAAACUCACAAUGGUCCUCCUGCCUCAGCUUCCCAAGUGCUGAGAUUACAGGCGUGUGCCACCAUGCCUGGCUAGUCUGGCUAUUUUUGUGAUGUCACAAUGUCAAGUUACUCCUGCUCACUACUUCACCAGGGAACCUACGAUGCUGACCAGUUUCCUGGUGUGUUACCUGCUUCUGCUACUGAUCCAAACUGCAGAACUUAUUCAUCCCCAUGGCCUCCAGACAGUAUCCAAUGGGGAAUCCGAUCUAAAAGGAACCAGACCUACGUUUUCCAGCCCUUCAUUCUGGUGACUGAUGGAAGGAAGGAAGGGGAGGGGGAAUAUAGUCGUAUACAGAAUGAAAAAGAAACAGACUGUCAAAUUAUUGUACCUCUUUACCUUAGUACUCACCAGCCAUAUUAAUUACAUUGUUUAAGUAUUUGGGGAAGUUGGAGAUGACCAGCAUCAGACGUGACUGGAUGGGAGUAAAUGGAGGGAAUGAGAUAAGAGUUGAUUUUGAAAGAUGCUGAUGUUUUGAAAUAAUGUACCCAUCUGAGGAUUUUUUCUUUUAAGUUUAUAAAAAUACCAUUGAUAUAGCCUGUCCCCUCACUUCCCCACCACAGGUUUCUUGGACUGGAGACAUUUCUUUAAUAAUAGCGUGUCUCUGAUAUUCCCAGUAACAACUACUAUCGAGGAAAGGAUAGAAAACGUUCAGGACAUCAUCAUAUAGACUCCUCAUCUACAAAGUUCAGUAACGGUGACGCCUACACAGAAGACUUGGAACUGCAAACAGGCUGGGGUCACCUCAGUGACAUCUCUUGAUGCACAAACAGAAGUUUGAUUUUUGUUUCGGGGGUGCAGAAGGAAGCAGACUGUAGUAAAACACUAAAGUAAUUUUAUGUCUA